AGCGAACGUUUGCGGCGGGCCUAACACAUGCAAGUCGAACGCACUAGCAAUAGUGAGUGGCGCACGGGUGCGUAACACGUGGGUAAUCAACCCUUCAGCUUGGGAUAACGACUUGAAAGGGUCGCUAAUACCGGAUACGGCGCGGGAGGCUUCGGCUUCUCACGAGAAAGCCUCGCAAGGGGCACUGAAGGACGAGCCUGCGGCCCAUCAGCUAGUUGGUGAGGUAAGAGCUCACCAAGGCGAAGACGGAUAACUGGUCUGAGAGGAUGAUCAGUCACACUGGAACUGAGACACGGUCCAGACUCCUACGGGAGGCAGCAGUGGGGAAUAUUGCGCAAUGGGCGAAAGCCUGACGCAGCCACGCCGCGUGAGCGAUGAAGGCCU
rnacentral:rRNA from 1 species